rnacentral:rRNA from 1 species
GACAGAGGGUGCAAACGUUGUUCGGAAUUACUGGGCGUAAAGCGCGUGUAGGCGGCUGCGCAAGUCGGAUGUGAAAUCCCAUGGCUCAACCAUGGAAGUGCACCCGAAACUGCGUAGCUAGAGUCUCGGAGAGGAAGGCGGAAUGCUUGGUGUAGAGGUGAAAUUCGUAGAUAUCAAGCGGAACACCGGUGGCGAAGGCGGCUAUCUGGACGGUUACUGACGCUAAGACGCGAAAGCGUGGGGAGCAAACAGG